UCUGUAAGGCUUAGUAAUUAGACAUUUUUAUGACUCAGGUCAUGACGCCUGACGCCUGGACUAAUGUGAGGACUUUCCGAUCGGAAGUGGAUUGACCUGAUGGUUUAAAGGCCUCGGCCAAGCAAUCUGGGAACAGAUCUGUGGGACUUUGACGUGACGACAGUCCCACGUGAAAACACCAAGCAGACAUGCCCCGCAGUGUUUGGAUCCUCCUUUGCUCUCAUACUAUUGGACACACAACCAAUCCUCUUACAUGUACCCCGACCUGCGGCCACCAAAUCCAUGGCCUUUUAUUCCUAGGCAGCUCCACACAGUCCCAGAGCGGAGUGGUUUUUACCCAACCUGCACGCGUCAGUCAUUGACACUUUCAGCUGCUAUCGUGCAGUGAGAGCAGUAAACAAUGCAGUUGCCCUGACAUGCCGCGCCGACGGUCGGCCGUCAGACAGUCAGGGGUCGUCAGUAAGCGUCCGUCUAGUCCGGCCUAGUUUUUUCAGUGCCUGUGGAAAUCUACCAGGCAGCCCUGAGGGGGAGGACUGAGGCAUCAUGGGACGCAACAUUCAUCACAUGUCUGAUAUUCACCAACACAUGCAUGUGUUCACAUCCUGGCUUUAUGUAAUGCUGCUACACUGUCCAUUGACUCAUAAUGGCCUUUCCACACAGAGGUAUUCUGGCACACUGUGAAUCACUGUACUUUUCCCACAUUUUUUUCUGUGUGAGUACAAAGGUCACAGAAAGGACAGGAAAGAUCAAUAAAAAAGGUGUGAGUGGUGUGAUGUAUUAGUUUCUGUACCGUCAUUCCAACACCCGUGAUAGU